GGGUAAACGCUGGCGGCGUGCCUAAAACAUGCAAGUCGAACGGGCUUUCACUUUCGGGUGGGGGCCGAGUGGCAGACGGCUGAGUAACGCGUGGAUGACCUACCCGCGAAUGGGGAAUAACUGCCCGAAAGGGUGGCUAAGACCGCAUACGUACCAGACUUCGGUGGCUGGUAGAAAACCGCGAGGUGUUCGUGGCGGGGUCCGCGUCCGAUUAGCUGGGUUGGGGG
rnacentral:rRNA from 1 species